rnacentral:lncRNA from 1 species
GGGUUCACAGGGGGUCUACCCAUAAGUCCCCAGAUCCUUUUCCAUGGAUCCCCUGGUCCAUUCGAGAGAUAGAGAUAAAAAUUAGUGAAGAGAGAGAGAGGAGAGAAGAGAAGAGAGAAGACUCUCUCUCUCCUUUCCUCCGCUCCCCCUGUUCUUUCUCUUCCUCCCAAGCUCUCAAGUGGUGGACUCUGAGACCGAAGUUCCAUGGUGGUGCCUAUUGACCACCAUGGUGAUGACAUAGACCACGGCCACGGCCACGGCCAGUGAUGGUCAUGGAACAAAGCAAGAGGAAGAAGGUCAUGAAACAAAGUAUUCUCAAACCCAAACCAGUGGCUUGCCAGUCCAAAAUGGCAGAAACGGAGAUGACUAUGAGGCCGGAAAAAGGAAGAUAAGGAAGAGUGGAGUUGGUACCUCAGUCAGGCGCCACCCCAGGCGUGAUUCCGGCAAUCUAUUUCCGCCAAAAUCCAAGGAGAAACUCAAAGGAAAAAUCCGAGAAUAAAGAGGGAUUUCUUGAGGAAUUUUUGAUGGAAUCCCAGGGAAAAACCCAAAGCAAAGCUCGGCAAAUCGGUAGAAAUCCCUUGAGAAAUUGGUGAUGGAGUCCAAGGGAGAAGGAAAGAAAUCCUUUUUAUAGAUGGGAUUGUAGGAUUUGAUUAGGAUUUUCUUGUCCUAGGACUCCUAAUAGAAGUCUUCCUUUCCGUGAUCAUACGCCAAGCACUGGUUCAGGCUGUCCCAUGGAAUAUUACAUAUAUUUUAUCCAAACACAACUUUUGGCAAAAAGUAACUUAUGUAACAGAAAAGUAAUUUUCAGACAGUUACCAAACACUACUUCUCAACUUAAAGUAAUUUUCCCAUAAGUUACUCGUAGAAAAUAAUUGUUUAACUUGUUACUUAAAGUCAUUCAUAAGUAAUCCCAA